UCGACUUUAGAAAUCAUGAGGGUUCAAGUCCCUCUAUCCCCAAAUACCCCAAAAAGUCUUA
rnacentral:tRNA from 1 species